UGCCUGGACGGAUAAUAUUCUUUAUUAGUAUACCAAGGCCCCCAUAAAAUCUUGAAUUAGAGGACUGUACUCUACAAACUGGGAAAAAAUUGUAUCCCUCAACACUAAUAGGGGUGUUAUAUCCCAAAUGUGUUUCUGUCAAUAGUAUAAUAUCAUAAUGAAUGAUCUGUUUUAGAAAUGAGGGGUCAUGUAAUUUAUUGUAGGAUUUAGAAAUUAAGCCCCCAACAUUCCAA
rnacentral:lncRNA from 1 species